rnacentral:rRNA from 1 species
UACGAACUGUGCAAACGUUAUUCGGAAUCACUGGGCUUAAAGGGUGCGUAGGCGGCUUAUCAAGUAGGGUGUGAAAGCCCCCGGCUUAACCGGGGAAUUGCGCCCUAAACUGACGAGCUGGAGUGGGACAGGGGUGUGUGGAACUUCCGGUGGAGCGGUGAAAUGUGUUGAUAUCGGAAGGAACGCCGGUGGCGAAAGCGACGUACUGGACCUCUUCUGACGCUGAGGCGCGAAAGCUAGGGGAGCAAACGGG